CGAAUGCAGUCCUCGGAAGCAGUUUGCUGCACUCUUCCAAGAUCUCGUCGCUUUUCAAUGUCCAGCGACAACAAACCAAUAUCCAGAGCAGGUUUCUUCCCAGUACACACAGGAGGGCUGAUGCAGUCUGAGCCAAUUCCAGAGAAAGAGAAGAUGGAGAAGGAAAUAGAGAAUGAGAAAAAGAGAGCGAGAAAUGCAGACCACUGAGUAUAGACGAAGCCUGUAGACAAAGUCUUACUUGCCCACGAGGUAAUGACCCUUCAGUGGCACCAGCAAGGUUUGUGUGCUGAUCUGGCUGCAGUGUGGAGGAGGUUGAAAAACAGACAAGAGUUCAGACUAGCGGAAACUCUCAACGCUGGCCCUGGAUUCACCCUGCAUCUGUGGUACAUUUAAACAGUGUUAUCAACCCGAACACUGAAACGGUCCAUGCUUACUGCGCCAUGAAUGUCCUUCUCCACGAGUAACAUUUCAAGGAAACAUGUGAAGGCGGGAAUAUUAACUGCGUUGCUUGGAUAUGACCACAUCUUAGACCGAAAGCUAAUAAUGAAAUAUCAGCACUCUAGUCAGAGAGAUUGAAUGGGACAAAGCUAAAUGAAAGGUGUCCAUUAAUCAUUAAUUGUGCUAAAAGCCUGGCCCUUUGUAUUCCCUUGGUGCCUGGGUUAUCUGGCUGCCAUGUGACAUGCCGAGGCCUUUUCCUAGUAGAUUGGGGAAAGCCAGUGAGCAAACACAGGUGUUUUGGAGUCAGUGGCGCUCACUGUCAAGGACAACCGCAAACACGAGCAGUAAUGCCUGAUCCAGUGAGACACACUGUUUGCCUGCUGCUUCCUGGUGAUCCAAAAUUUCAUGUCCAACCGUAUCUCCCGACUGCCCCCCCACAUUCGUAACUAUCCACACUGUGCAUUCGAAUGAAGGAAUGAAAAAAAAGAGAAAAGAGAUAUUGGAAAAGAGCAAGGGAACAGGCACAGGUAUUCUGAGCCUUUUGAAAUGGGAGGUCUGGUUGAACAAACGAUGGGGGUGAGCAAACUCAUUUGUGGUGUAAAAGCCCUCACUUUGGAAAACAAAACAAAUUUAUUCUUCUCAAGUGGGGCUAUAUCCAUGACCCCUUGUGGCAAAUUAAGGAAGCAGUCCAGCAUUCUAGUCACCAGAGCCACCCACAUGGUUUGGAAGGCUGGAUAGGUAACACAAACAUUGUUCACAGGUCAAUACACAUACAUAAACGCUGUCUUCAGCAAGUGUUCACACCACUUGACUUUUUCCACAUUUUGUUGUGUUACAGCCUGAAUUUAAAAAUGAUUCGAUUUCGAUUUUUUUUUUGUUACUGGCCUACUCACAGUACCCCAUAAUGUCAAAGUGGAAUUAUGUUUUAUUUUACAAAUGAAAAGCUGAAAUGUCUUGAGUCAAGGAGUAUUCGAACCCUUUAUUAUGACAAGCCUAAAUAACUUCAGGAGUAAAAAUGUGCUUAACAAGUCACAGAAGUUUCAUGGACUCACUCUGUGUGCAAUAAUUGUCACGCCCUGGCCUUAGUAUUCUUUGUUUUCUUUAUGUUUUUUAGUUAGGUCAGGGUGUGACAUGGGGAAUGUAUGUGUUUUGUGGUGUCUAGGGGUGGUGUAUGUGUAUGGGGCAGAGUAGAGUAAUGUUGUCUAGUUAUGUCUAUGGCUGCCUAGAUUGGUUCUCAAUCAGAGACAGCUGUCAUUCAUUGUCUCUGAUUGGGAGCCAUAUUUAAGGCAGCCAUAGGCAGUAGGCUUUUGUGGGGUGUUGUCUAUGUUGUACGUUUGUAGCUUGUGGUUGCACUUACGUCUUUAGCUUCACGGUGUUUUUGUAAUAGUGUUCGUUGCAUGUUUUUUUCCCUUCUCUAAAAUAAAAGAUGUAUUUUGCACACGCUGCGCCUUGGUCCACUCUCUCUCACGAAGACGAUCGUGACAAUAAUAGUGUUUGACGUGAUUUUUGAAUGACUACCUCAUCUCUGUACCCCACACAUACAAUUAUCUGUAAGGUCCCUCAGUUGAGCAGGGCAUUUCAAACACAGAUUCAACCACAAAGACCAGGGAGGUUGUCCAAUGCCUCGCAUCGAAUGGCACCUAUUGGUAAAUGUGUAAAAAUGUAAAAAGCAGACAUCGAAUAUCCCUUUGAGCAUGGAGAAGUUACUAAUUACACUUGGUGUAUCAAUACGCCCACUCACUACGAAGAUGCCGCCGUCUUUUCUGCCGGAGAGGGAGGAAACAGCUCAGGGGAUUCACCAUGAGGUCAACGGUGACUUUAAAACAGUUACAGAGUUCAAUGGCUGUGCUAGGAGAACACAGACGAUGGAUAAACAACAUUGUAGUUACUCCACAAUACUAAGCUAUUUGACAGAGUGAAAAGAAGGAUUUAAAAAAAAUAUAUUUUUAAAUUUAACCUUUAUUUACACAUUCUAAACCAUGCAUCCUGUUAACAAGGCACUAAAGUAAUACUGCAAAAAAUGUGGCAAAGCAAUUCACUUUUUGUCCUGAAUACAAAGUGUUAUGUUUGGAGCAAAUACAACACAUUACUGAGUACCAAUCUCCAUAUUUUCAAGCAUAGUGGUGGCUGCAUCAUGUUAUGGGUAUGCUUGUAAUCGUUAAGGACUGGGGAGUAAAAAAAAAAAAAGAAAUGGAAUGGAGCUAAGGAGAGGCUAAAUCCUAUAGGAAAACCUGGUUCAGGCUGCUUUCCACUAGACAAUAACCUGAAACACGAGGCAAGAUAUACACGGGAGUUGCUUACCAAGAAGACAGUGAAAGUUCCUGAGUGGCAGAGUAACAGUUUUGACUAAAAUCUGCUUGAAACUCUAUUGCAAGACCUGAAAAUGGUUGUCUAUCAAUGAUAAACAACCAAUUUGACAGGGCUUGAAGAAUUUUGAAAAUAAUAAUUUUGCUCAUAAAGGUGCUUCUACAAAGUAUUGACUCAGGGGUGUGAAUUAUUAUGUAAAUUAGAUAUUUCUGUAUUUUAUUUUCAAUACAUUUGCUGAAAUUUCUCAAAACAAGUUUUCCCUUUGUCAUUAUGGGGUAUUGUGUAUAGAUGGGUAGGAAAAACAUAUAUUUAAUCCAUUUUGAAUUCAGGCUGUAACACAACAAAAUGUGUAAUAAGUUUAGGGGUAUGAAGGUAUAGGAUCUUAAUUUGAGCCAGUUUGCUACAGCAGGAAAAUAAUCCUGUAACAACAGGAAAUGUGAAUUAUUAUGUGGAUUAUAAUUAAUGGACAUUUUGGUAAGGUUGAUGUAUUUUUCAAAAGUGAAAAUGAAGUCUGAAAUUUCAAAGUGGAAAUUACAAACUUCAGAAGCCUUUUUAACCCUCAAAUACAUGACACGUUUUUAUUAAAUGUCCUGUAACCGGGUGAUCAAAUUAAGAUCCUACAUCUAUAGCAUGCCACACUUGCCUCACAUCUGAUUUGUAUUAUUUAUUUUGGAUAAUACAUUUAUUUACACUUCAAAAUGUAACUCUGCAUUUACAGAAGAGACUCCAAGUUAUUUGAAAUCAGCCCAAACAGAUAUACUAUUUGACUAAAACCUAAGAAUUUCAAACCUUCCUUACAUUUGUAUAUGAUCACGUGUCUCUCUAUUAUGCGAGGAAAUACUUGGGAACAGAUUUCACAAAUUAAAAUCACUUGGAGCUGAUUUCCUGGUGUUUUCACAGUUUUUUAUGUCCAACAAUGAAAAUUCAACAACACAAAACAUUAGAUUUUUUUGCUCAGAAAACUUGGGCGGCCAAAUAAACCCACCCGAGGGCCAAAUACAGGCAACAGUGAUUUACAGAGUGGUUCUACCAGUGGUGUUUAACACGUAAAAUCUUUGCCUGUCUGGCACACGUCAGACUAACUACCUGUUUUUGUUCAAAUAUUUAUAUGUUUGUACUUCAUCCAUCCGGAUUCAAAAAGAUGAUAAAGGUGUUUGAAGCAAACAGUCAAAACCAACAGAAGAGAGGGUGUAAAGUUGUAAAGUAAGGGAAAAGAGGAAAUGAGCUUGGCUACUGGGGAUCUCACGGCCCGGCAAGAAUGAGGACACAGUAUAAAUUAUAAUCCGCACUCACUAUUACCUCACUCAUGAAGGGAGAAACUUCCCAACACCUAGAAAAGAAGCAAGACUGUAGAUAUUAUCUAUCACAUAUUAAAUAGUUUUUGUACAAAUGUGAGAAACUUGUAUUUCUGACAACUAUAAUUUUUAAAGAAGAGAAAUAGCAGUUGAGAAUAAUACAUAAAAAAGGCACAUUUGGUCGCUCGAAAAAGAAAUGAGAAAACAUUAGUCAUUUUCCAAUUAUAUAUACAGUUGAAGUCAGAAGUUUACAUACACCUUAGCCAAAUACAUUUCAACUCAGUUUUUCACAAUUCCUGACAUUUAAUCCUAGUAAAAAUUCCCUGUUUUAGGUCAGUUAGGAUCACCACUUUAUUUUAAGAAUGUGAAAUGUCAGAAUAAUAGUAGAGUAUGAUUUAUUUCAGCUUUUAUUUCUUUCAUCACAUUCCCAGUGGGUCAGAAGUUUACAUACACUCAAUUAGUAUUUGGUAGCAUUGCCUUUAAAUUGUUUAAUUUGGGUCAAACGUUUUGGGUAGCCUUCCACAAGCUUCCCACAAUAUGUUGGGUGAAUUUUGGUCCAUUCCUCCUGACAGAGCUGGUGUAACUGAGUCAGAUUUGUAGGCCUCCUUGCUCGCACACGCCUUUUCAGUUCUGCCCACAAAUUGUCUAUAGGAUUGAGGUUAGGGAUUUGGGAUGGCCACUCCAAUACCUUGACUUUGUUGUCCUUAAGCCAUUUUGGCACAACUUUGGAAGUAUGCUUGGGGUCAUUGGAAGACCCAUUUGCGACCAAGCUUUAACUUCCUGACUGAUGUCUUGAGAUGUUGCUUCAAUAUAUCCACAUAAUUUUCCUCCCUCAUGAUGCCAUCUAUUUUGUAAAGUGCACCAGUCCCUCCUGCAGCAAAGCACCCCCAAAACAUAAUGCUGCCACCCCCGUGCUUCACGGUUGGGAUGGUGUUCUUCUAAUUGCAAGCCUCCCCCUUUUUGCUUCAAUCAUAACAAUGGUCAUUAUGGUCAAACAGUUCUAUUUUUGUUUCAUCAGACCAGAGGACAUUUCUCCAAAAGUACAAUCUUUGACCCCAUGUGCAGUUGCAAACUGUAGUGUGGCUUUUAUGGUGGUUUUGGAGCAGUAGCUUCUUCCUUGCUGAGCGGCGUUUCAAGUUAUGUCGAUAUAGGACUUGUUUUACUGUGGAUAUAGAUACUUUUAUACCUGUUUCCUCCAGCAUCUUCACAAGGUCCUUUGCUGUUGUUCUGGGAUUGAUUUGCACUUUUCGCACCAAAAUAUGUUCAUCUCUAAGAACGCUUCUCCUUCCUGAGCGGUAUGACGACUGAGUGGUCCCGUGGUGUUUAUACUUGCGUACAAUUGUUUGUACAGAUGAACGUGGUACCUUCAGGCAUUUGGAAAUUGCUCCCAAGGAUGAGCCAGACUUGUGGAGGUCUACAAUUUUUUUCUGAGGUCUUGGCUGAUUUCUUUUAAUUUUCCCAUGAUGUCAAGCAAAGAGGCACUGAGUUUGAAGGUAGGCCUUGAAAUACAUCCACAGGUACACCUCCAAUUGAUUCAAAUGAUGUCAAUUAGCCUAUCAGAAGCUUCUAAAGCCAUGACAUCAUUUUCUGGAAUUUUCCAAGCUGUUUAAAAGCACAACUUAGUGUAUGUAAACUUCUGACCCACUGGAAUUGCGAUAAAGUGAAUUAUAAGUGAAAUAAUCUGUCUGUAAACAAUUGUUGGGAAAAUGAUUUGUGUCAUGCACAAAGUAGAUGUCCUAACCGACUUGCCAAAACUAUAGUUUGUUAACAAACAUUUGUGGAGUGGUUGAAAAACGAGUUUUAAUGACUCCAGUCAAAGUGGACUGUGUAUGUAAACUGGUUUUGGUUUCAAUGGCUUAUUUUUGGUAAGGUGAGGACUCUGCCACGAGGCGACCUAAAAGCCUGUUUCUGCGACUUUUUUGCUUCACUGUGGUGAGAGUUUGGAGUGACCAGAAGAUUGACAGCCAUUUGCAGGGUUGGGCCAGAGGCAUAUAGAUAACAGGUUAGCUAUUAACUCAUUGCGUCGCCAGCAAAAAAAGAGGUCUGACUUUAAGAGUGAGGGAGACGGUAAUCAAAGUGGGCAUUCAGUAAGGAUAAGAGUUUACAGCAGUUGAUUGAAGAAAUUGUUUGUUUUAAAAGUAUGCAAAAUGCAGGUUGUUACAGGUUGUACAAAGCGUAUAAAGAAUUGUAUAAUACAUAUAAUUUAAAAAAAAACAAGAUUCAUGUAAAAUAAAAUAUAAUUAUAUAUAUA